AGUGAACGCUGGCGGUAGGCCUAACACAUGCAAGUCGAACGGCAGCACAGGAGAGCUUGCUCUCUGGGUGGCGAGUGGCGGACGGGUGAGGAAUACAUCGGAAUCUACUUUUUCGUGGGGGAUAACGAAGGGAAACUUACGCUAAUACCGCAUACGACCUACGGGUGAAAGCAGGGGACCUUCGGGCCUUGCGCGAUUGAAUGAGCCGGUGUCGGAUUAGCUAGUUGGCGGGGUAAAGGCCCACCAAGGCGACGAUCCGUAGCUGGUCUGAGAGGAUGAGCAGGCAAACUGGAACUGAGACACGGUCCAGACUGCUACGGGAGGAGGCAGUGGGGAAUAUUGGACAAGGGGAGCAAGCCUGAGUCAGCCAUACCGGGUGGGUGAAGAAGGCGUUCGGGUUGUAAAGCGCUUUUGUUGGGAAAGAAAUCCAGCAGGCUAAUACCCGGUUGGGAUGACGGUACCCAAAGAAUAAGCACCGGCUAACUUCGUGCCAGCAGCCGCCGUAA
rnacentral:rRNA from 1 species